rnacentral:rRNA from 1 species
UACGUAGGGGGCAAGCGUUGUCCGGAAUCAUUGGGCGUAAAGAGCGUGUAGGCGGUCCGGUCAGUCGGUUGUGAAAGUCAAGGGCUCAACCCUUGAAUGCCGGCCGAUACUGCCGGGCUAGAGUCCGGAAGAGGUGAGUGGAAUUCCUGGUGUGAGCGGUGAAAUGCGCAGAUAUCAGGAGGAACACCGAUGGCGAAGGCAGCUCACUGGGACGGUACUGACGCUGAGACGCGAAAGCGUGGGGAGCAAACAGGAU